rnacentral:tRNA from 1 species
AGCACGGUGGCCGAGUGGUUAAGGCGUUGGACUUAAGAUCCAAUGGACGUAUGUCCGCGUGGGUUCGAACCCCAUCCGUGCUA